UUUGCCUAGCGUUCCCCAACUCCUUUAUCCCUCAUGAGGCUCUAAAAGGCAGCACCUGCUUCAGUGAAACUGCAUUUCUCAAGGAGGAGCAUCAGGAAGAUUUGUCACGAGCAGCACCUGUUCUGCCCAGCUUCAUGCUGAUAGAGCUCUUCUCACACAGCAGGUUGUGUGGUGGACUGGUGUAUCUAGCUCUGAGCUGGAAGCUCUCAAUUAGAGCUUGGUCUGUUGCUUUCUCCUGUCAGCUUUCUCCUAUCAACAUUCUGGCUGCUACUGGAGCACACUGUGAGCAGAAGCUGUAUUAACCUAGGGUUAAAAGAGAGAGGUCAAGAGGCAGAACUAAAAACACAUGGCUGUUGUAUUUAAUGAAGUUUGCUGCGAUUUGUCUUUCUCAGAAGUAUUUGUAGUAAAAGUUUCAGAUGAUCACAGUGGAGUGCUCUGCAGUCACUAACAGACAGCAGCAGCGUGAGCCCCGCUCACAUUUACUUCCCCAGCUCAGCUCAAGGUUUUCCUGAAGGAACAUGAGGCAAACAAUGUUUGAUUGCUGAACCAAAAGGCAAAGGGAAGGAGCAGCUUGCAUCCAAGGGGCAGGAGGAGUGAAGUCAGCUCUGCUUUAGAAGAUUUGUAUGUGGCACCUCCAUGAGAAUGCUUUAAAGGCCUAUGAAGAGCCUGAACAUUGGUUACUGCAGACAUCUUGCUCAGAGGGUCAUGGAUUUCACAGCUAUGAAGUUGAAUGAUUUCCAGCUACUGCAGCAGUAAAAGCAAUCAGCCACCUUUAAUACAACGGCAGUAUUAAUGAUUCAAGGUGUGGAAGAGCAUGCUGGCUAUUGCUUAUGUUAUGCUGUAGCAAAAUGCACAUUACCAAAUUCAAAGCAAACUUCUUGCUGCUGUGUGAACCAAAGCAGGCUACAAAGAACAGAAGAUACAGUACAAGCAUGCAAUAUUGCUUGGGAGGAGAUAACAGAAAGCAAUGGGUUGAAGAAUUGUUGGCCUGUACUGCUCUUAAUGCAUAUAUCCAGUUUCUUGUCCACAUGUUAUCAGUUGUAACAUAAAGGCAUUUGUGUUUGAACUAGGUAAAACUUAACAGCUGAACUGAGGCUUGCUGGAUACACUUUUUAGGUUGCUCAAUUUUCUACAUGAAUUCCCAAAUUUUUGUAAUGCGAAUUUUUUGUUUCCUCUGCUGAAGUGAGC